rnacentral:rRNA from 1 species
GCUUAACACAUGCAAGUUGAACGUGAUUUUAUAGACAGAUUUCUUCGGRAUGACGAUUAUAAAUGAAAGUAGCGAACGGGUGAGUAACACGUGAGAAACCUGCCUUUCACAAAGGGAUAGCCUCGGGAAACCGGGAUUAAUACCUUAUGAUACAUAGAAAUCGCAUGAUAGCUAUGUUAAAGAUUUUAUCGGUGAAAGAUGGUCUCGCGUCUGAUUAGCUAGUUGGUGGGGUAAAGGCCUACCAAGGCGAUGAUCAGUAGCCGGAUUGAGAGGUUGAACGGCCACACUGGAACUGAGACACGGUCCAGACUCCUACGGGAGGCAGCAGUGGGGAAUUUUGCACAAUGGGGGAAACCCUGAUGCAGCGACGCCGCGUGUACGAUGAAGAUCUUCGGAUUGUAAAGUACUGUCCUUGGUGAAGAUAAUGACUGUAACCAAGAAGCAAGCCCUGGCUAAAUACGU